AGCUGGUUUCUCAAGAAAAGAAUUUUAGUUCAACCUAAAGUAACCUUAAUACACACAAAUUACCACACCACUUUAGAGCAAUUCAAAUGAGGUACAGCCCAUUUGAUAUAGGAUACAACCUUAACUAACGGGUAAUAUUAAAUUUACACCUUCAAGUAGGCCUAAGAGCAGCCACCUUUUAAAAAGCGUCAAAGCUUAAUCAUGUUUGCAUCAAUUUUAAACCCCUUAUUGACCCCUUUAACAAUAUUGAGAACUUCUAUACCCUAUAGAACCUUUUAUGCUAAAACUAGUAACAAGAGAAAACCCUCUCCCCAAUGCAAGCACAAGCCAGCAAGAACCCAUCACUGGCAACUAACAGACCUAAACAAAAGUAGUAACCUCACUAGAAAACCCUACUUCUAUCAACUGUUAACCUGACACCAGAGCAUUUCAAGAAAGAUUAAAAGAAAAAGAAGGAACUCGGCAAACCCUAAUCCCGCCUGUUUACCAAAAACAUCGCCUCUUGCCCCCAUAAGAGGUCAAGCCUGCCCAGUGACUUUGUUCAACGGCCGCGGUAUCCUAACCGUGCGAAGGUAGCGUAAUCACUUGUUUUCUAAAUAAAGACCAGUAUGAAAGGCAUCACGAGGAUUAAACUGUCUCCUUUUUCCAAUCAGUGAACCUAAUCUCCCCGUGAAGAAGCGGGGAUUAUGAUAUAAGACGAGAAGACCCUAUGGAGCUUAAAACAUUAUACAUCUGCCACCCAUUUUUAACCAUCCAGAUGCUUCCCCAAAUGGCACUUUGAUUGUAUGUUUUUGGUUGGGGUGACCGCGGAGAAAAACUUAUCCUCCGCAAUGAAAGGGGAAUUUCCCCUAAACAAUAAGUUACAUCUUUAUGUAUCAACAAAUUGACAUCCAUUGACCCAAUAAUUUGAUUAACGAACCAAGUUACCCUAGGGAUAACAGCGCAAUCCACUUUAAGAGCCCCUAUCGACAAGUGGGCUUACGACCUCGAUGUUGGAUCGGGGUAUCCUAGUGGUGCAGCCGCUACUAAAGGUUCGUUUGUUCAACGAUUAAAACCCCACGUGAUCUGAGUUCAGACCGGAGCAAUCCAGGUCAGUUUCUAUCUAUAAAAGAGCUAUCUUCAGUACGAAAGGACCAAAAUAGCAUGGCCAAUGCGACCCACAAGCCAUAAUUGAUUAUUUUUAGACCUCCACUCAAAAAAUUAUUAAUCUCACCUUACACCU
rnacentral:rRNA from 1 species